rnacentral:rRNA from 1 species
UACGAGGGGGGGCAAGCGUUGUUCGGAAUUAUUGGGCGUAAAGGGUGCGUAGGCGGUUUGACAAGUCUGAUGUGAAAUCUAUGGGGCUCAACCCAUAGUCUGCAUCGGAAACUGUCGGGCUUGAGUAUGGGGAGAGGUGAGUGGAAUUUCCGGUGUAGCGGUGAAAAUGCGUAGAUAUCGGAAGGAACACCUGUGGCGAAAAGCGGCUCACUGGACCAUUACUGACGCUGAUGCACGAAAAGCUAGGGGAGCAAACAGG